rnacentral:lncRNA from 1 species
AUCCAUAUCCGAAACGGGGCCAGAUUCAGAGCGACGACACUUCGCUGAAUGCAGCAGCAUAUGGUGUCGCCCUCAGAGUUGGGCACACAUCCAGAUCCAACACUUACUUGUCCCAUGGUAAGCACAAAUGCACACUAUCAUCACACAGACACCUCGAGUAAUUCUUAACCUUCUCAGCAGAUGGUAAUCCAACAUGAGAAUGAGAUGCAGGGCCAUCAAGUCGAAGUCCAUCACUAGUACCUUGUCAGCGGUACCAGCCAUUGGUGGGCCAGGCCUUCCACGCAUUCCUAUCCACCUCAGCUCCCUGACAGUCGUUUUAUAAACCCCACUCCCCUGCAGAAGAACACACGGAAACCAGUGAGCCACCCACCAAUAGUUUCCUUCCAUCCAUGGCAUGCAUCAACACCUUCCAGAGUUGCUCCAUUGCCAGAGGGGCAAAGUUCAACACAAGAGCUAGGGGCAGUGCUGGAAAGGGAUCACCAACCUUUCAGUGCAGGGCGUCGACUUUCGUUGACGCCAGCCUCCGGCUUGAGCUCGACGAGAACCCUGAGGCGAUCAUCUCAGGCGAGUGGCCUGAGAACUUC